rnacentral:rRNA from 1 species
AACGAACGCUGGCGGCAGGCUUAACACAUGCAAGUCGAAUGGCUGUAGCAAUACAGCAGUGGCAGACGGGUGAGUAACACGUGGGAACCUUCCUAGGGUACGGAACAACUCAGGGAAACUUGAGCUAAUACCGUAUACGUCCGUGAGGAGAAAGAUUUAUCGCCCUUAGACGGGCCCGCGUCGGAUUAGCUAGUUGGUGGGGUAACGGCCUACCAAGGCGACGAUCCGUAGCUGAUCUUAGAGGAUGAUCAGCCACACUGGGACUGAGACACGGCCCAG